GCGCUCGUAGCUCAGGGGAUAGAGCAACCGCCUUCUAAGCGGUCGGUCAUUGGUUCGAAUCCAAUCGGGCGUG
rnacentral:tRNA from 1 species